rnacentral:rRNA from 1 species
AGUGAACGCUGGCGGUAGGCCUAACACAUGCAAGUCGAACGGCAGCACAGUAAGAGCUUGCUCGUACGGGUGGCGAGUGGCGGACGGGUGAGGAAUACAUCGGAAUCUACUUUUUCGUGGGGGAUAACGUAGGGAAACUUACGCUAAUACCGCAUACGACCUACGGGUGAAAGCAGGGGAUCUUCGGACCUUGCGCGAUUGAAUGAGCCGAUGUCGGAUUAGCUAGUUGGCGGGGUAAAGGCCCACCAAGGCGACGAUCCGUAGCUGGUCUGAGAGGAUGAUCAGCCACACUGGAACUGAGACACGGUCCAGACUCCUACGGGAGGCAGCAGUGGGGAAUAUUGGACAAUGGGCGCAAGCCUGAUCCAGCCAUACUGCGUGGGUGAAGAAGGCCUUCGGGUUGUAAAGCCCUUUUGUUGGGAAAGAAAAGCAGCAGGUUAAUACCCCGCUGUUCUGACGGUACCCAAAGAAUAAGCACCGGCUAACUUCGUG